GACGAACGCUGGCGGCGUGCUUAACACAUGCAAGUCGAACGGAAAGGCCCUGCUUUUGUGGGGUGCUCGAGUGGCGAACGGGUGAGUAACACGUGAGUAACCUGCCCUUGACUUUGGGAUAACUUCAGGAAACUGGGGCUAAUACCGGAUAGGAGCUCCUGCUGCAUGGUGGGGGUUGGAAAGUUUCGGCGGUUGGGGAUGGACUCGCGGCUUAUCAGCUUGUUGGUGGGGUAGUGGCUUACCAAGGCUUUGACGGGUAGCCGGCCUGAGAGGGUGACCGGCCACAUUGGGACUGAGAGACGGCCCAGAAGCCUACGGGAGGCAGCAGUGGGGAAUAUUGCAGAAUGGGCGGAAGCCUGAUGCAGCAACGCCGCGUGCGGGAUGACGGCCUUCGGGUUGUAAACCGCUUUCGCCUGUGACGAAGCGUGAGUGACGGUAAUGGGUAAAGAAGCACCGGCUAACUACGUG
rnacentral:rRNA from 1 species